CCACAGCCUUAGAUCAGACGUGGCGACCUGCUGAACUUAAGCAGAGGAAAAGAAACAAAUCCCUCAGUAACGGGCAGUAAAAAGGGAAGAGCUCAGCGCCGAAUCCCCAUUCAGUGGCAGGUGUGGGAAAUGUGGCGUACAGAAUACCGACUCCACUGCAUCGCUCAGGGGGCUCAAGUCCUUCUGAUCGAGUCUCACCACGCACGCAGAUGGUGUUAGGCGAUAGCGGCCUCUUGCACACCGGGAUCAGGUCUUCUUGGAGUCAGGUUGCUUGGGAAUGCAGCCCAAAGCUUGUGGUAAACUAGAGUUCAAGAGGGCAUGAAACGAUUGAGAGGUAAACUGGUGGGGUCUGUGCAGUCUGCCCACAGGAUUCAACACAGCAGUUAGGUUGGUCACCUGGAACGGUGGGGGCCCUUGCGGGUCUGCGGCCCGGGUAUAUCCAGCCCCACCAGCAUGCAUUUCCUCUGUAGUGGUGCACCACGACCGGCUGGGAAGGCCCCAGGGGGCAGGGGGCUCUUUGCUGCAGCAGAGAGUGUGACAGCCCCCUGACAGAAGAUUUUCUGUGUCCAUGGGGCUGAGGGAGAUAGACCACCACUGCGCCCUUAUCCGGCAACCAUCCUGGCCCCUCUUGGGGGUCGCUAGAGUGGCGGCAGGAGAUGGGGCUCCCAAAGCGACUGGUGGACUGCUCUCAAUACGCCCCGACCACAUCAUGCUGCCGGGCAGGGAGGCCCACAAAGGGCACCAGGGGUCUGAGGUGAUGACGGUUAACCACCCGACCUGUCUGGAAACACUGACCAAGGAGUAUAACAUGCACCCGAGUUAGAGGGCCGAAUUAAACCAUGUGAUGUAAUGAUGUUGAGGUCCAGUGCUCGCCGAUUGCAGUGGCAUGCUGUCGCGGUGGGCCCUCCACCGUCCUGUCUCGCCCGCUCUGUCAGAGAGAUGAUGCAUGAGCGUGUGUGAUAGGACCCGAAAGAUGGUGAACUCAGCCUGGUGGAGGUCCGUAGCGGUCCUGAUGUGUAAGUCGAUCAUCCGACCUGGGUAUAGGGGCAAAAGACUGAUUGAACUAUAUAGUAGCGGGUUCUCUCCGAAGUUUCCCUCAGGAUAGCUGGCGCACAGAAACCCCAGUUUUAUCUAGCAAAGCGAAUGAUUAAAGGUCUUGGGGCUAAAAUUAUCUCAAACUUUAAAUGGGCAUGAAACCCGGCUCGCUGGCGUGGAGCCGGGUAUUGUAUGAAAUCGCUCGGUGGGCAACUUUUGGUAAGCAGAACUGGCGCUGCGGGAUGAACCGCACCCCCGGGUUAAGGCGCGUGAUGUAGAUGCUCAUCAGACCCAGAAACGUUGUUGGUUGAUGUAGACAGCUGGAUGGUGGCCAUGGAAGUCGGAAUCCACUAAGGAGUGUGUAACAACUCACCUGCUGAAUCAACUAGCCCUGAAAAUGGAUGGCACUGGAGCGUCAGGCCCAUACCGGCGCUGAGAGCCGUGGGGGCUUAGUUAGGCGAGUAGGAGGGCUGCUGCGGUACGCACAGAAGCUCGUGGCGAGGGCCCGGGUGGAGCCGCCGCAGGUGCAGAUCUUGGUUGUAGUAGCAAAUAUUAAACGAGAACUUUGAAGGCUGAAGUGGAGAAUGGUUCCAUGUGAACAGAAGUUUAACAUGGGUCAGUCAGUCCUAAGAGAUGGGCGAGCGCCGUUCAGAAGGGAUGGGCUAUGGCCUCCGUUGCCCUGAGCCGAUCGAAAGGGAGUCGGGUUCAGAUCCCCGAACCCAGAGUGGCAGGGACGGGCGCCCCUGCGGCAUCCAGUGCGGUAACGCAAAUAAUCCCAUAGAAGCCGGCGGCAGCCGCAGGGAGAGUUAUUUUCUUUGUGAAUGGCAGGGCACCCUGGAAUGGGUUUGCCCUGAGUUAGGGCCCGAGCCUUGGAAAGCGUCACGGUUCUGGCAGCAUCCGGUGAGCUCUGGCUGGUCCUUGAAAAUCUGGGUGAGAUGUUGUAAAUCUCACGCCAGGCCAUACCCAUAUCCGCAGCAGGUCUCUGGCAUGUCAGAACAAUGUAGGUACGGGAAAGUCGGCAAGUUAGAUCCGUAACUUUGGGAUAAGGAUUGGCUCUAAGUGCUGGGUCGGUCGGGCUGGGGCGCGAAGCAGGGCUGGGUGCGUGCCAUGGCUGGAUGAGGCAUCUUUUCCCCCCAGGGGGCAGCUCUGCCUCUGGAUGCGAGCCGGGCCCUUCCUGUGGGGCUCUCGCUUCUGGCUCCAAGCGCCCGGCACCUGCUGGGCACGACCCGCUCCGGGGACAGUGGCAGGUGUGGAGUUUGACUGGGGUGGUACACCUGUCAAAGGAUAACGCAGGUGUCAUAGGGUGAACUAGGGGAGGACAGAAACCUCCCGCGGAGCAGAAGGGCAAAAGCUAGCUUGAUCUCGAUUUUUCAGUCUGAAUAUAGACCCUGAAAGCAGGGCUUCACGAUCGUGCUGACUUUUUGGGUUUCAAGCAGGAGGUGUCAGAAAAGUUACCACAGGGAUAACUGGCUUGUUGUAGCCAAGCUUUCAUAGCGACGUCGCUUUUUGAUCCUUCGAUGUCGACUCUUCUUAUCAUUGUGAAACAGAAUCCACCAAGCAUUGGAUUGUUCACCCACUAAUAGGGAACGUGGGAUGGAUUUAGACCAUCGUGAGACAGGUUCGUUUUACCCUACUGAUGAUGUGUUGUUGCAAUAGUAAUCCUGCUCAGUUUCAGACAUUUGGUGUGCGUGCUUGGCUGAGGAGCCAAUGGGGUGAAGCUACCAUCUGUGGGAUUAUGACUGAACGCCUCUAAGUCAGAAAUGCCCCCCCCCCGCCAAGACGUGAUACUGCAGCGCUGUUGAGCAUCGUUUGGCUUAGGAUAGCCGGCCUCUGGGAUCGUGUGUAGAGCCGCUCGCCUCAGGGCCUUGAGUAUGAACAGAAAGGGGCCACCUCU
rnacentral:rRNA from 1 species